CAAUCAGCUGUCUCUCACCUCGUGUUCCUUGUCCUCGCCCCUGCCAGAGACACAGUGUGCUGUACUGAGGUCAGAGCUGUGUUCCUGGUCAGGCAGCCUGUGUAGUAACUGACCAUGUUGCUGAAGUCUGAUAGAAGUGUCCACAUCAUCUGAACGUGAAUGAGAAGUUUAGUCUAGGAAAUAAUAAGCCAAGACAUCAUCUAGAAAAGGGCUCUCUACGGUGCUCCCUGGCCACUCUUUCACAAGGCUCAUGGCAUCUCUGGAACUCCUAAGCACUCUCCUUAGUGCUUCGGAUUACUCAAGGGAAGUUUGUUUUUUGUUUGCAAUAUCCUGACUACUCUGCCUGAAGUGUGAAUUCACAGAUACUAAUCAGUUGUUCUCAUAAAGACUGAGUUUCCAUAACAUACUCUACAGAGGUUGUCUACACAGUAGAUCUGUAGGAGUUUUCUUACUUGAUUAAAUGUAUAGCCACAGGCUAAGGUGUGAUAACUGCAAUUAAAUAUGAAAAUGUAGCUUGUGUAUUAAAAUAUUCCUGGUAAAGAGCCAGUACAAUUUAAAAUAUUGCACUGCACAGUUAAAAUGCUUUGCCUUUGGGUCUGAGGAAGUGCAAAAUAUUUUUGUGUCAUGACUAACAGAUAAUGGGUAAAUUGUCAAUACAACAUUGCUGGAACAUUGACAACAGUUUAAGCAAGGGAACUCUUCCUCUCUCCAUUUAUUGUGGCAAAAUCUUCUGGUAUAUUAGGCAAAAUCUGCAGUUCUGCUAUGCAGCAUUAAGUAUGUUUUCUUGUUACUGUAAUUAUUUUAAUAUUAUUCAUUACUCUAUCCACUUUAGUAUUUCAAACUCAAUUUUCAAUUUAGUCCUUAUCUAAUAGUCACUGAAAUGAAAAAAACCAAAAUCAUCAGAACUAUGGUGGUACUUGAUUUCCAAGAUCUCUGUCUACCUAAAGUGACAUAAAAACCCACACUAGUUUAAUAUGUCUUUGUUUCAUUUACUGAAAUUGCACAAAUAUUCUAAAUUUACUAUGGUAGUUACAUUUAUAUGCAGGCAUUUGUGAACAUACAUUUUAUUUUGGUUUCAUAUGGGUAGAGACCCCUAGAUAUCAAAAAAUACUGAAGGAAGAAAUUACUGAAAUAUUUACCUAUUUAAAAGUUUAGAAUAUGUGCAAAUACAAGUCUUGAUUCCCUAUUAUCUGGGGCAUAAUAUCUGGGUACAAAUAAUCAGCAGUAAGUUUGCAGAUAUUGGUUUCAAAAAGCCCUGUUUGAAAGAAAAUAUUUUAACAUACUCCCUAGAAGACACAGUGUAAAACAGAGAUGAAAAAUAUCUUUGUCUGUUGUGCAACUAAUUGAAUUUAAAAGUUUGAAAAAAUAUAUUAAGACAUAUUUUCACUGCUGAAAACCAGAUUCACUAAAAUUUGUAAGAUCUCCUUUUACACCUUAUAAGAAGCAGUGUAAUUUCUUCUUGCAAACUCACACAACUACUGUUGAAGUGAGAGUUGUUAAGCCUUCCUUUUUGUGGAUACUCGUCAUGAAUAUGUAUUUAAGUAAAGUUGAAUAUUUGGGCAUUUCCUCAUUCCCAGAAAGAAAUACAAGCUCCUUAUUCUCGGUUUCAACAGUACUGGAGAAAUGUUUUGAAAUUUCAAUAUUCAGAUCAAGAGAUAAAUCCAAGGUAAACAACCUUGAAGAUACUCUAGACAAGAGGAAACACCACAAGAGCCCUUGCUAGCUUUCAGCAGGUGCUGAGAGGGAGGGCAGUGCUUUCCCCUGGGUUGGGUAUUGGACAAUCACUUUUCCUUCUGCUUUUUGCUCCAGAUAUGCUACAUGGAAUCCUGAAAACCAGUUCCUUAUUUGCAACUGCCUAUAUGCUGAAGCUUAGGAAAGAGAGAUAAGAAUAUUAUUAAAGAAGCAAUGUGGGAUUUAAUUGAUGUAAGAUACUGCAAUGGAUGUUGCACAGGAGUGAUGCCAUACUGAAGUAAACAAGUAGUGUAUCUGUUUUUAUUGGUAUUUUGGGCUUACAGCAUGCACAUCAAAUGAUUUACAUUCUUAUCACCUCUCAUGUAUGGAAGCAGUUUUUAAAUUCUAAGCAUUUCAGUUAAAAGAAGUCAAAUCAAAUCAAUGCCAAGAAUCCUAGUUAGGAUGUAAUUUUUGCUGAAAAUUACCUUCUUCAAGGCCUUGGAGGAAAAAACAGCAAUUUAGUAAAAUUGAACAAAUAAAGACAUUUCUAUCAAAUUCCCCUUAGUCAAACCUUCAUUAGAUUUCCCCUCUUUUUGUGAAAUACAGUAAGUGGAUAUGGUAUUAUUUGCCCUUUCCAUGAGAAAGACUCAAAAAAAUGUUGGACUGCAUUUGAGAAGCAGUCUUUAGUUUUGUGUGACCACUUCUGGCUGCUAAAUAAAGGCUGCAAGACCUUGCAGGUCUGAGAGAUUUCAGUCAGAGUUAUGAACCCAUAGCACCUUGAGAAAUUAGGUGCUAGGCCUGACCAACAUGCUGAAUUAAACUGUACUGUUGAAAACAUGGGAUAAAUUUCCAUCUGAAGUCUAAGAGCAUUUUGACUCCAAUAAUUUUCUCUUUGAAAUAAAAAGGGUGUCUCUAUUUAACCAUUCCUGGAGAAAAAUAUCUAAUAUUGUACUUUUGAAACAUCCAGAUAAUUCCAGUCCUUUACAGUCAGUACAUGUUUCAAAUCUCAUGCCAAAUGCUCAAAUCCUUGGACUAGAGAAGACCCAGAGGGAACUCAUAAAAUUAUAUAGGAAAGGCACCAAUUCACUCUUGCUGAGAAGUAAUUUGGUUUGGUUUAGUAACCUGUGAAAUAGUUCUGUAAAAUUAUGAACUUUAAGGAAACUGUAAAGAGUGUGAUUAUUGACAUCUGCUGUAGGUGACCUUUAUGUGCUGAAAAGAUCACAAGGUAGUAAAGACAAAAAAAUUACAACCUCCUUUCCUUCUUCUUUCUAAUGGUCUGAAAUUGAAAAAUUGGAUCUAUUGAACCCCAGUUAAAGUCAGGACAGCCAAAUAAAACAAGGCUACAACCUGCAACUUGCAGUUUCCCAAGUGUGUAAUUUAUAUACUUUAGAGACUAAAUGCAACUGCUCGAGGGAGUUGUGAGUCCCCACUCUCACCUGAACAUAAAUCACUUCGUGUUAUUUCCAUCCAUUCACUAGCUCUUCCAUUAACUUCCCCCUCUAUGGUAAAGAAACAUAUCCCAGCAUUUCAAAGGAAUAGAUGUACACGUGCAGAUCAUCCAAAGCUGUUUGUUCUGAUUCUUUUCUCAGGGCAGUUAUAAGGGCUGUGUGCCUUUCUAUCUUUCCUACUUCUCAGUAUCUUUUCUGGAUGUUCUUUCUUGCUGUUUGUGUUAACAGAAUCUAGGCUCCUGGCAGCUUUAUGAAAUUUGUGCUGGUAUUGAUCAGCUUGCAGGAUAUGGAAAAUGCCUAAACGUCACUGUUGCUGGCAUUACAGCACCACGCAGCAGCUAACAUUUCUAGUGCAUGAGCUGUGCAAAUGACCUUUUAGCUCUCCUUAAGAGCAUCUCCCAGUUGUCCUGAGUCAGCGUGCCAGUUACCACAGUAGUCUGAGGGUGGCAUUUUAAGUGUCCCUUGUCAUCUUGAUAAGGGACCAAAAAGGCAGUAGCAUGACACUGGGUAUGCCCUAUGACACAGAUAUUGCCUGAGUGUGCUGGAUGCUGGGAAAUGCUGAAGGGGAUCCAGACCAAAGCCAGAAUAGCGUUGCUUUCCUCAAUGUAAAUAUCCCCUAACAAUUCCCCCAUAAUCACAUCAGUUGAAAUAUUUUAUCCACAGCUCCCUUUGGAAAAGGACCCUGUCUAGUCCUGUCCUAUCUCACUCUUUUCAUUUUAAUGAAUAUGUUUUCCAGAAGUACAUUGAGCAACACAACUAGUAUUGGGAUAUGCAAUUGCCUCCUUCUUCUUCUUUUUUUUUCCCACUAAGAAAUUCAUUAACAUUUGCAUUUUUUAAAAUCUAAUUUUAGACUGAUACACUUUUUACUGUUUGCAUGGUCAAAAGGAUGUGUUUCCCUGUUCUAGCAGAAGAGUAUGGACUGUCUGAUCCCAGCUGCUGUGUGUAUUUGUACAUAACCUUGAUUUGUCCUAAGAGAAAGCCUUUAUGAUUGCAGAACAGAUUUGUUCUGUGUCAUGACUGGGAAACUGGGCUGUCUUCAGUAGGGUGCAACCCAGAUUUUCAAAUGCUUUUUAAAGUAUUUGGGCAUGGACAGCUGUGUCUGAAAAUACAUUAAGGAGAGGUUGUUUACGGGAAAGGACAGGCUUGGUAUGCUCACUAACUACUGCAUUGCUGAAGAGCUGGCUGUAGUGUUCUGUACUCAGAGUUCAGUUAGUAACUCAUGAGUUGUAUGAGUUAAAUGGGUUAUUUUCAGCAGGAUGGUGGGAAGUCUUAUUGCCAGCUGCACAUAUUAAGUACUAUGCACAGCUACUGCAGUGUGAGAUACUAGAGGGGAUUGCUGGGACAUCCUUGAAGUGAUGGGUUAACUCCUCAGUCAGAGGGAAGUUGUACAUGUGUUAUUUCCGGUUACUGGAUAGUGUGUGAAUGACUGUGAAUGAAGUCCUAAUCCAAUGCCCACUGCAUUCAGUUAAAUGUUUCCAGUCAUUUCAGCUGUAGUUUUAAGUGGGAACUGGAUCAAGCCUCUCUCUGUAAGAUUGGAGAUAGCAAAGUCACACUGAAAGGAAAAAGUCAGGUUUAGGGUUCCUAUUUUAAUUUUUCAAUAAUUUCUAUAGACUUCUAAGGAAGUAUUUUUUAAUGUCUGAUUUGCCCUUUGUUCAGUUUCCUACAUUAUGCAUAGAUUAAUUUUAUGAGUUGAAUUUUUUUUUUCUGAAUUUUUUUUAUGUCUGUGUAACUUGAGGAAGUCAGUGACCAGGCCAUGUUUUUAGCAAGAAAAAAUAAACCAAACAUUCAUAUUCUUGUUUUGAAAUACUUUUCUCUGUGUGCUUUGUUCUUUCUGGAUAAAAUAAGCAAUACUUCUGUUUUAAAAGUGCUCUGCCACUGUCAUGUCCAUCAUUGCUCAUGGACUGGUAGAGGAAACAUGGGAUAUCUGAAUUGAGAGAGACCAUCAGGGAGAUCUGGUAAGGUAAGAUGGAGCUCUGCAUGGGAAUUAUUAAUUGAUUGAAUUAAUAUGCAGGAUCUCAUUGAAAAGAGCCUCCUACCAUUUUAGUCAGUUAUUGGGGCCACCAUGCUCUGUCAGACAGCUCUUGUGAGCUUCCCAGACAUGUAUGACCUGUUAGGUGGCUUCACUGAGCCAUCCUACCUGUGUCCAUACAGUGUAGACUCCCAGGAUGGGUGUCCCACAGAGAGAUCCUAUCAAGGCCUUUUUAGCAUUCAUACCACCAUAUAUAGGAUUUUAUUAGCUGUUGCUAUUAUGCUAAAGCACCUCAUAGCUAAUGGCUGAGGAGGGAUGAUCUUGCUGCAUUUUUUGGUAUUGGAGAGGGGUAGGAAAGUGGUAGAAAAAAAUGGUUUUUUGUAUUGGAGAGGGGUAGAAAAAGUGGACUUAAUAUCCAUACUCAAGACGAGUCAAAAGAUGAGACAUGGGUUGUAAGUUGCUGUACACUUUAUUCCUAGCAGGGCAUGCAAGCCUUCUGGGUUUUCUUUUCUGGUCAAAACAUCUUUGUUUUCCUUACUCCUUCAGACUUUGGAUAGAUGCUCUAGCUAUGAAGAUGAACAGUGUUUUGGGUUUUUCCAUGACUCGGUAACAUAUAUAUGUUUAGAAACGUCAUAGAUGUUUUUACAGGUGUAACUGUGUUAUCUACAUUAGCCUAAAUUCUGAAAGUGGGUACUCAGCAGAGAGUCGGAUGCAGGACACUACUUCAAUCCAGACAGUAAAACUUCAUGAAUCAUGGAAAAUGUCCCUAAGGCCCUUCAAGAAAUUGCAUAAAUCAUGUGUUCUGUAGCAAGUCAUUAGCUCUAAGCUAAACAAAAUUCUUUGAAAGUUUUUCACACUCCACCCUGGACUUUGUGUUAGCUCCCAGAUCAAGACUAUCACCUUUCUGCCCAAUUAGUCAAUAUCUGGAGUGAGCACUAGACAGAUACCAUUUGCUGCUGACUGCAGACAUCAAGUCUGAAGAUCCAAAUGAGUGAAGGCAUCUCUCAGUGUAAAGUGGUAUCCAAAAUAAGCAGAAGCUGAAGAUUUUUUGGGAGAGAAAGCAGUCUGAGCAAAUAAUCACAAAAGAAUGAGUCUAAGAUGGCAUGACUGCCUCUUUAAAACAAUUAGAGGAGAGGACCCAGGCAUAGCUGCUGUCCCUCUUUGUGCUAACUUAGGAAUGGUCCCUGGCAUAUUGUGAGGGUUGGCAUCCAUGCAGGCCAACACCCACACCUCUCUGCACCUCUGAGUAGAGUAGCGAAGAGGGUUGAUUUGGGGAAGAGGGUGAUGGUAUCUGAACGGAAGACCUAGUGCCUUAUCCUUUAGGAAAGUAAUUUUUCAGUCAGCUGCACAGCAGCUUCCCAUUUGGCACAGGGGAUAUUAUUGAGGGAUGGGAGAGCUCUGUUCAGCUGUGAAGAAACAACAGUAGGCAUAGCUGGAGUAAGGGCUGGACUUGGAAGGCACUGAAGGCAUGCUUUUGUGUGAACUCCUGUGUCAAGGGGUUUGCAGAUUGGAAUGGGGUUGUCCUGAGUGUGGAAGGCUGGUGAGUCUCAGGUGGGCACUAAAUCCUCAGUCCCAGCUCUCAUUGCCCUCGGGCAGUGUUCAGCACUGUGUUGAGAGCCAGUAUCCUGUGCUUUAUAUUAGGAUAGAUAGUGGCGUUAGAAUUAGGGUAAGAGUUACCCUAAGAAUUAGGAGAGUAGAAAGAAAAUUGCAAGAAGCUAAAUACCAUCAUGUCCUGUGGGAUCUGCUUGGUCAUGGGCAGUCCAGUGUUGACAGUGCACUUAGACAACAUUUUCAUCAAUGUACUCAGGUCAUGUAUUUUAUUGUGGACACUAGUCACUUUGCUAUUUCCACUUCAAGGAUUAUUUCAGAUUUAUGUGGAGGGACAGAAAGAAAUGGAGUGGUUUUAUACUACAUAUAUAAUUUAGAGUUCAAAUGAGGUUUGAUAUCCAUACAGGGCAAUGGUUUGGUACUGAUUUCUGUGAAAACUUUAGUCCCAAAAUGAACAGUGAGAUUUUUGAGGGUAUCAAUUUUCUAUGAGUAUAAACUCACAUGACUUCUUUUCUCUGGCAAAAUACUGGUGAGAAUUGAUCCUAGUUCUGCAAGAAACUUCAGUACAAUUCUGCACUAAAGAUACAAAGUGUGGAGGACAAUGAACAAGAUAGUAUAUUAGUAUAUUCUUGUCAUCUAUUUCUGUAGAGAAAUUCCUCAUUGAUCAGGGGCAUGGGUUGCCCCUAGAGGGAUUGGACAAGCCAGCCUGAACCUAACAAGUGACUGAUGUCCUUGGGGUCACCUUGAAGGCCCAGAAAGAGGAAAUGUUAUGCUGUUGCAAGAGCUAAGAUGGAUGUUAGACCGCAUGCAUUAACCACAAAAAGGGCUGUACCUGAUCAUGCGGUGCCUUGGCGCUCACCAAUGAAACAGAGUAGCAGACAUGUGAUGGAGGCUGUGCAACCAAAGUUGGCUGCCGCGUGCACAAGGCAACGUGUAUAAAAAGAGCGUUGUUCAGGCAAUAAAGGGAGAAGGAUAUGUAACGUAUCAUUGUCAAUACUCAGCUGGCUCUCCGUGGGACCCUCUUCAUAUUUCCAAGGAAAGAGGUUGUGAGCAUUUGAACUAAGUCUAGACAUAAUUAGAGCCUGGAUUACAUCUGCUGCAUGACAUAAACACAAAGCUACUAGCUUGUGGUGGCCUACAGCUGGCCUGUAGGCCUCAAAGUAUAAAUAAUUAUAAAAUUAUAACAGAAAUCUGUGAUCAGUUAUAUAAUUACCUUACUUUUAUAAUUCGACCAGUAAGAGCAGGCCCAGGCCGUUGGAGACUCAGGCUGCUAUUGGCUGGCUGAGCAGGAAGUAACAGGCUCAGCCAAUGAGGAUUGACCUCGUGGGCUCCCAAGGUAUAGAAGGGAGCGAGAUCUGAAUGAAGUGAACUGCUGCUGCGUGGACUCCAUGUGUCUCGUCACUGGUCUGUCUCCGAAACUGUGACACUAGCUCACAUAAAUAGAAAUUUGUUAGUUUGAGGAAGAUAUGAAAGAGAUAUAAACAUAGCUGGGACAACUUAAGUUUCUGUGAGAACCAUGGCAGUUGUAGUUAUGGUACUUUAGAAACAGCCUGUUUAUGAAAACUAGGCAGUCAUGCAACAGUAUGGCAUUCUUCUUUUACUCUGGCAGACAGUACUUAAAUAUUAUCUUGCAACUGAACACAAUAAAAUGAGAAAUAUUUACUAUUGCAUGGACCUUUUCGCCUCCUUAUGACUGAAUUCAUUGAAGACACAUUAUUUUUCUCAUUUGUGAAGUGUCAAUGUUUUUUCCCACUGUGGAAAGAAGCAAUUCCUCAUUCACUGGCAUUUGUUUGAGAGCUCCGCAUGCCAACACGUGACCAAGUAUCCACAUGCAGCAGGGUUUGUAUUUUGGCUCUGAGCAGAGGUGGUAAGGGAAAACAUGAUAUAAGUGUACAGAAAUAGACUGGGUAUUUAGGAUUCUAAUCAAGUCGUCAGAUCUAAUCUCGGCCUGUGGUAGGGCUAAACCUGUUUUCUCAUUCAAGACAGAUAUUCUGUGAUUUUCUGGAGGAAAAUGUUAUAGAGUUGAAAGUUAAAAUUUUCAUUGGAAUUGAAAAUAAUUCUUCUGAUAUUAUUCUAUACAUUCAAGCUUUCUGUCUAAAAUCAGAUAAAGGAAAUUAUUUUAGAACUGACAAAUGCUUUUUACAUGCCCAGGUUUCUGGUAGUUGAGCUCAAAACAUCUUAAAUGGACAACUAAUUGUUUUUUCAGAAAGUUGACUUGCAGAAUGACACUGAACAGACAGACACUACUGUAUCCCAUCUUUGGCAUUGUGAAAAUAACUGCUAGGGAAGCUGCUAUAAAACAGAAAGGCUUGUUAUUACUGGCCCAGAAAAAGCUCUCUCAUGUUUCUGAUGGCUAAAAAUGAAACAGGAAUCUUAUCUUACAGCACACAUAAUAAAACAUAAUAGAAAGGGUCCAGUCCCAAGUUCAGUCCCUAGACACAAAGAGAUCCUCAGAUGGCAUGGCAAAAGGAAUCUUGGGUAGGUCUGUGGAUCCUGCACAAAGGACUGCCAAAGCCAAGGAAGUCAGUUCAUGUCUUCAGAGUUAAAAGUGUUGCAUAACAAGUUCAAUAUACAGCACAGAUUUUGAUUGUAUUACCUGCAGAAUAACAGUGAUAACAACACUGUAAAACUUAACAAGACAGGAAGUUCCUGGAAGGCAUUUAUGAUAACUUCUUUCUCCAAGUGAUAGAGAAGCCAGUUAGGAGAAGUGCAUUGCUGGAUCACAUCCUCACCAAGGAGAGGCUUGUUAGGAAUGUGAGGAUCAAAGACAGCCUUGAGUGCAGGUCAGCCUGCAGUGACCAUGAGAUGGUGGAAUUCAGGAUCCCAAGGGCAGGGAGGGUGGAAAAACAAGGUCAGACAUGAGGACAGCAGACAUCAGGAAAGCAGACUUUGGCCUCUUGAAAAAAAUGCUGUGUGAUGAGGCCCUGGAAGAAAGGUACGGCUAAGAUGAUUAAUGUUAAAAGCUUACCUCCUACACCUUCAAGAUUGUUCCAUCCCAAUGAAUAAAAACUCAGACAAGAAUUUCAAGAGGGCCAUGUGAAUAAGCAAGUUGUUCCUGGCCAUACUCAAACACAAAAAGGAUGCAAGGAUGUGUAACCCAUGAGGAAUAGCUAUGAGAAUCAUUAUCUGAACAUUGGGAAAUGAAGUUUGGAAAGCUAAAACUCAGCUGGAUUUGAAUCAGACCAAGGGGUGAUGGAGACAACAAGAAGGGCUUCUAUAACUACACAGGUGACAAAAGGAAGGCUGGGGAAAAUGUGGGCGCCUUGCUCAAUAAGGUGGGGCAUCUGGAUACACAGGGCAUGGAAAAGGUUGAGAUACUGAAUGCCUUUGCUUCCAUCUUUACUAGCCUUCAGGAAUCCCAGAUCCUGAAGACCAGGAGGAAAAACUGGGUCAAGGAACGUGUACCCUUGGUGAAAGAGGGUCAGAUCAGGGAAUACUUAAGUAAACUGGACAUAGAUGAGUCCAUGGGUCCUGACAAGAUGCUGAAUGUCAUUGUGAGGCCACUUUCAAUAAUUCUUCAAUGAUCUUUGAUUGUUCAUGAUGGCUGGGAGAAGUACGUGAAGACUGGAGGAAAGUAAAUGCCACUUCUGUCACUCAGAAGGGCAAGAAAGAAGACCCAGGGAACUACAGGCUGGUUAGCCUCACCAUGAUACCUGGGAGGGUGAUAGAACAGCUGAUCCUGGAAACUAAUCCCAGGCAAAUGAACAAUAAAAAAAAAAAAAUCACCAGGGGUAGUCAGCAUGGCUUGCCUAAGUGGAAGGGCUUGAGCAACUUGGGAAACUUGUAUGAUUAAGUGACUGGUCUGGUAGAUGAGGGGGGAGCUUUGAAUAUUUUUUACCUGGACUUCAGUAAGGCCUUUGGCACUGUCUCCCAUAAGAUCCUUAUAAAUAAGCUGUUGGUACAUGAACUGGAUGAGCAGUAAGGUGGUUUGAAAAACAGCUGAAUGGCCAGGCCCAGGGGCUGGUGAUGACAGGCAUGAAAUCUUUGCUGGACUUCCUUCAGUAUGUCCAUGUCUGUCUUCUACUGGGACCUCAGAAAUGGGCACAGUACUCCAAGUGUGGCCUCAGCAGUGGUGAGUACAAUGAAAGAAUUACUUCCCUUGGCCUGAUGGCAGCACUCCUCCCAAUGCAGCCCAGGAUCCCUUCAGCCUUCCUCGCUACACAGACACAUUUCUGGUUUAUGUUCAAUUUUGGAUCUACCAGGACCCAGAUCUACUGCGAAGAUGCUUAUGCACUGUGUGUCCCCCAGCAUAUACUGGCGAAAGGGGCUGUUCUUCCCCAGGCUCAGGAGUUGUCCUUUCCUUUACUGAACCUCUUAAGCUUCCUGCUCACCCAUUCCUGUCACGGUCCCUCUGGAUGGCAGCACAGCCCUCUGGUACAUUAGGCACUCUGCCCAGCUCUCAGCUUUGUGUCAACUGCACACUGGCAGAGGGUACAAUCUGCUCUGUCAUCCAGACCAUUGAUGAAGAUUUUGAACAGAAUUAGACCCAGCCCUGACCCCUGAGGUAUACUGCUGCUUCCUGGCCUCUGACUAGACUCUGUGCCUCAGAUGUUCAGACAGUUUUCAGUGCACCUCACUGUGUAUGUCUGUCCAGGCCAUGUUUCACUGGGUUCUCUGUGAGUUUCUUGUGAGAGACAGUGUCAAAGGCCUCACUUUAGCAGUCCAGGUAGACAGUGUCUGCCACUCCGCCCUUGUCUUGUACUUUCUUUAUACUUUGCCUCUAAUUUCUAUUUGCAGCUCCCUCACUAUGGCUACCACGGUGGCAGGGCUAAGUGCACCAGUACAGUUUUCACAAUAGGGAUCUUCUCAAGGAGAGGACCAGUUCCAUGGCCGUUUUAAAGCCUUUAACUGAGAAGUGUAAGAGCAUAGACAAAAUUAUCCCUCAAUCCUCGGGGGAUGUGAGCCAUAGCUAAGCAAGCCUGUGGUCCUGCUGCCCCGGCAGAGUGAAUUGUGUCCCUGACACCUAGUGGUAACAUGGCGCUGUGUAGCAGUAAUUAUGAUGCUUUAUUAUGAUGCUCACACUUUAAGGAAGUGUUUUAUUUUCCUUUUCUAUGUAUUAACUCCCUUCGUACUAAUGGAAGAUUAAGAAUCAAUCAAUGUCUGAAGUCUUAAUGGAAGUUCUGAUAUAUAAUGAGAAGCCUCAGUAAAUAGGAGGAUUGAGAAUACUGAAUAAGUCUAUUUUACUACCAGUGUAUCAAAUAUGAGAAUUUGAACAAAUUCAAAAUGCAGAGUUGAGUAAGGAAACAAAAGUGGUGUUCUUGUAAUAAGUAAUGACUUAUUAGGGCUGAUUUUCUUAUCUCCUAUAAUUUAGACAUAAAACUUAGUUAUUAAAUACAAAUUUAAGUGGGAAAAAAAAUUAAAAAUGAAUGGUGGCUGUCCCAAUUACUUUGUAUAUGUUCUGCUCUGGAAUACAUUCAUACCCUUUCAUUGUCCCAUUAUAUCUUCCUGAAAAGUUGGUUAAUAAAGCUAUGUAUGAUCAAAUUAUUUUUGCAAUAAGAAUUAAAGGGAUGGAUUAAUGGACUAAGGACAUAAUCUUAAGUAUACAGGAACAGAGUGUAUGGUUCGUGUGAUGGAGAGCAGAAUCAUCAGUGGAUGAGAUGCUGGGGACUGGUGCUGUGGAGCAGCUCACUCUUCUGAAAGAUCCCAGCCACUUCAUCUGGAGACUGAACAAUCAAGUGCUUGCCAUCAACCAACUUGAUUGACCCUGACUUAUCUGAAAAUGAUUAUGAAAAUGUACUAUUUAAAAAGAGAUAGAAAAAGCACUUACAGUGGAAGACUUACAGUGAGCACCUCUGUGGGGAGAGAUCACAAAACGUGAAAGAGGCUGCAGUUUUGGGUAGCAGAACAUGGGACAGAUGUCAAUGGCACAAACCUAAGAAUCCAUCUAUGAGGUUCCCAAAUGCAGGCCUCUCUCUUACUGUGUCAAUGGCCAUGCCAGCCUGAUCUCAUACCUUAAGAGCCACUUUGUACAUAACUCAGCUUGUCUUUAAGGAGAAUGAUGAUCUGAAAUAAUUGCAGAGGCAUGGCAGUGGUAUGUAAUGCAAAAGUUUCUCCUUCAACAUGACACCAGAGGGUGAUUCUACAUAUCUGCUCGUGUGAAGUUUUGCACAAUGCACAUUACAUGUACUUUGAGCAAGGGAGAUUUUGGCACUGACUUACAUGUAGUCAUGGCUCCUGUAAAAAAGACAGGAGCCUGGGGCUUGUCACUGGAAUGUUGCAUACUCAUAUAUUUCAUACAGCUCACUGAAACUUUUUGCACAAUUUGUUUCACAGCUGAUGUGCAUGUCAGAGGUUUGGAAACAAGGAUAGGAUAUCCCCAAAUAUUAAUAAAACCCACAAAACCCAAAAUACAUAGAAUUAAAUAAUUUAACUAUCUCAGCAUGCAUUGAAAUUCAUUGAAAUGAAGUUUCCUGGUAUACAUAGGAAAACAUUAUUCAGAUAAAGUGGGAAGAUAAAAUCUUUAUUUAAAAGUAGAAUAUUAGCUGUAUUUAGGAUAGUAAUGUUUUAAAAACUGUGUAUAUAGGAUGAAUCAGUGGAAAGCAGAGCAUCUGGUCAUGCUGCAAAAAAAUAUGUUUAUGUACUGGAGAGAGUUGUGUGUAUAUUUUCUAGACAUAUACACAGAACUAUUUUUAUUUUCAUCAUAGUCAUGGUGAGAAAACCAUGCUGAGGUGAGGAUACAUUCAUCUUCCUAGUAUAGAGUGUGACAUAGGUAAUGGUUCCUCUGGUUCAGUUUGACAUUUUUCACAGAUACUUACUUUUCUAUUAACUCUGUGACACCUUUAUAGUAAUACCACAAGGGUUGUUUUUUAGGGGAUGUGUUGAAAAGCAGUAUGCCUUUAUAAAUUCAUCUACUCUGAUUAGUGGUUACAAACACAAAACUCCAUCAUCAUACUAAAGUAGCGUAAAGUUAGCAGUGUCCCUGUAGUUCUUUAUGAGGUCUGCUGUGUUUCCUUUUCCUGUAACCCUGGAACAGGAUUUUUAGGAUGUGUAAUACAAUGGGGGGGACAAUUGCAGCACCUCUGUAAACAUUUUACUCCUAAAGCUGCUUAUAAUGCUUUCAACAUAAUUUAAUGUAAUCAUCAUUUUGCCUUGCUAUUGUUGUAUUUAUAGCACAUUAAUAAAGCUGCUGGUGGUGGGGAGGAUUUUAUAUCUGUACUG